rnacentral:lncRNA from 1 species
UUCAUAUUUUUUUUUUCUUCAUAAUAAUAUUACAUAGAAUUGCUUCACAAAAAAUAAACCAACUAUUUGUUAUUAGAUGGGGUGCCAAAUAAGUUUUAUUGCGUUUUCAUAUAUAUUUUUUAAUACUUGAUUCUUGAUAAUAAUAUUACAUAGAAUUUAUUUACAAAAAUAAUUCAACUAUUUAUUAUUAGAUGGGGUACCCAAUCCUGUUAUUGCAAAUCAAGUUGAAAACCCGAUUAAACAACCAGUAAUAAAUCGCCAAGAUUACCUUGAAGCAAAUGCUACCAAGUUACCUGAACCUCAUACAAGGGAUACUGAAUUCGGAACUACUGAACCGCCAGCAAGUGAAAGCACAGAAAACCUCAGUACCAGUAGCCUUGAACAAACUGGUACUAUUGAACAAACUUCCAAUGGUGAGUUUUUCUAAAAAAAAUUUAAGUGUUUCUGUGUUUUUCUUCAAAAUACUCAGCCUAUAUUAGUCACUUCGGGGUAUUAAAGUAUCUUCAUUAGUCACUUCGGGGUAUCAACUGUAUACUUUUACAGUUAUAGGGUUUUUGAGGCUGUCUUUUGCAAAGUUGAACUUCAGAAAGUGUUGAUUUUCAGCCUACGUUGAAUAAACUACUGUUAUAUUUUAAAUAUCUUAAAAUCUCCUCUAUCUUUGAAAAUAAAUGUCAAAUAUACAAUUUCUUGUAUCCGUGAAAGGAAAUUGAAUUUGCAAAAAAUACUUAUAAUGCCGGAUCAUACUUGUUUGUUAACAUUUUCGACAACAAGUAAUUACUAAGUAGAGAAAUCGGAAUAUAAUUCAUUACAUACAAAUAAAGUAGUUGUGUGAAAAAACAUAAUGUACAUUUGCAUAAAGAACAUUAUUAAAAAUUAUCAAAUUAUUAAUACUGUAAAACAGCAGAGUAUUAAAAUUAAAACUACUGGUAAGUUGUAAGAUUUUCAAUUACAAAACAUAAGCCGAAGUUACAUAAAAUUCAUUUUAAAAACAUUGUAAAAUUAGUAAUACUUUCGAAGUAAAUGUUAUUUAUAUUAAUUAUCAUUAUUAAUACCGUAGAAUCGCCGAUUACCGAAGAACCUACUACGGGUAAGUUUUCACAAAUCGAGAAUUUUCACUCAGUUUUAUUUACUUUACCUUUUUUUGUUGUAGUUUGGUAUUUCUUAUUUACUUAAUGUAAGACGUGGUAGGUUAAGAUUCUAUUGUUGUUAAUUUUCUUGGUGUACAAUAAAGAAUAAUCUAUCUACCUGUCUAUUUUUUUUAAGUGCUUCGUAACCCAUUUCUUUUUCAGCUAAAGGUUUGUCUACGAGACCCCUUGCGUGAACCAUCAUUGUAUGCGUCUCAGAACAUAAAUCUUCUAUACCUUUUUGAUGUUUGUUUGUUAUCACUUGCCUAGGCGU